rnacentral:ncRNA from 1 species
CAAGGGACUUAGACGCAAUUUGAGUGCACCAGCGGAAACGCUGGCUGUAGAACUGCUCAAAGUCGGGGAAACCUGUCAGAUGGCGAUCCCGAGCCAAGCCCUCUUAGGGGAAGGUGUAGAGACUAGACGGGCAGCACCUAAGGCGAAAGCUAGGGUGAAGGUAUAGUCCAGACCACAAACGCCGUGAGGCGGCG